AUUGAACGCUGGCGGCAGGCCUAACACAUGCAAGUCGAACGAGUGGCGGACGGGUGAGUAAUGUCUGAGAAACUGCCUGAUGGAGGGGGCUAACUACUGGAAACGGUAGCUAAUACCACAUACCAUCGGAUGUGCCCAGAUGGGAUUAGCUAGUAGGUGGGGUAACGGCUCACCUAGGCGACGAUCCCUAGCUGGUCUGAGAGGAUGACAAGCCACACUGGAACUGAGACACGGUCCAGACUCCUACGGGGGGCAGCAGUGGGGAAUAUUGAACAAUGGGCGAAAGCCUGAUGAAGCCAUGCGGCGUGUAUGAAGAAGGCCUGCGGGUUGUAAAGUACUUUAAGCGGGGAGGCGUUACCCGCAGAAGAAGCACCGGCUAACUCCGUGCCAGCAGCCGCGUAAUAC
rnacentral:rRNA from 1 species